rnacentral:snRNA from 1 species
UCUACUUUUACUACUACGUCU